rnacentral:tRNA from 1 species
AUGGGUGUAGCUUAGUUGGUAAAGUGCUUGCCUAGCAUGCACAAAGUCCUGGGUUCGAUUCCCAGGACGUAUA